UAUUAUGAUGAGAACUGAGUAGGAAGUGCCGUCAGAUGCGAAAACUGAUGAUGCUUUUCACACUUUCUGAUA